AAAUUGAAGAGUUUGAUCAUGGCUCAGAUUGAACGCUGGCGGCAGGCCUAACACAUGCAAGUCGAGCGGAAACGAGUUAUCUGAACCUUCGGGGGACGAUAACGGCGUCGAG
rnacentral:rRNA from 2 species